UGGGUGGAGCUACACUACAACUAGCCGGUAGGGACAGGUGGGUGGAGCUACACUACAACUAGCCGGUAGGGACAGGUGGGUGGAGCUACACUACAACUAGCCGGUAGGGACAGGUGGGUGGAGCUACACUACAACUAGCCGGUAGGGACAGGUGGGUGGAGCUACACUACAACUAGCCGGUAGGGACAGGUGGGUGGAGCUACACUACAACUAGCCGGUAGGGACAGGUGGGUGGAGCUACACUACAGCUAGCCGGUAGGGACAGGUGGGUGGAGCUACACUACAGCUAGCCGGUAGGGACAGGUGGGUGGAGCUACACUACAACUAGCCGGUAGGGACAGGUGGGUGGAGCUACACUACAACUAGCCGGUAGGGACAGGUGGGUGGAGCUACACUACAACUAGCCGGUAGGGACAGGUGGGUGGAGCUACACUACAACUAGCCGGUAGGGACAGGUGGGUGGAGCUACACUAC